AGUACAAUGAGUAUCCCAGUUUCCGUUUGGUCCCCGAGUUGUUUCUAGCCUUUGCUUGCUUCCGGAAUUAGCAUCUCUUCCCGCAAUGGAUUCUGAAAGCAGAGCGCUGCCGAUUGUAAUGAAGACUUAUUUCUCUGAGGUUGUGGAAGAGGAUGGGAACUUCAUUCAAGCUGUCUGUAGCCGGUGCAAACCCCAAAGGAAAACCAUUCGAGGUCAGCACAAGGCACCAUCCAGUUUCACCAAACACGGGCAGGUAACUCCCAAAAGCAAGAACCAGACGUGAUGAGAGCCACGAGAUAAUCCAUGGAGAAAAAUAUCUGAAGAUGAUGCACAAAAGGAAAAAUAUAAUUGCAAGCAGGUUGGUGGUGAUGCGUGAGCAGUCACUGAGAACAUUCCAAAGGACUACAAGCCUCCCUUGGAUCUUUCCUCAAAACACUGGCUCUGUGAUAGGCCAUUACCCAAAGAAGAACUGGAUCAGCUCAUUCUCAGUUUUUGUCAUCACUGAUAUGCUUCGCUUAUCAAUUAUUGAAGGAAAUGGCUUCCACGCUUUGCUUAAAGGGAUCAUUCCCAGUGCUGCUAUUAUGUCUACAGAAACAUUACAGAAUACAUUAAUGAGACAAAACUGUUUGGUACUUGAAAGAAUUAAAAGAAGAUUGGCCUCCGUUUCUUACAUUUGCACAACUGCAGACGUAUGGACACAUCAAGGGCGAAACUAUAUGGGUGCUGCUUGUCACUAGAUUAAUUCAGCCAACUUGAUGAGAGAAUCCACAGUCUUAGGCUUCCGGUGCUUUGUUGUUUAUUCGUACAACAAGCUUGCCUCCCUGUUAACUGAGAUCCACACACAAUAUGAUUUAGAUUCCACAACAAUCACGCACGUACUUGCAGACAACAGAAGCAGUUCUGAGAAAACCUUGUGACCCUUUUCAGGAUCCAAAGUGCUAGAGGAUAACUGGGACCAGCAAGUAGGGAAUGAAGCUGGGAGACAGGGAGAUUUCCCAAAUGAGGCCUGCAGCGAUGUGUGGAUUUGUGAUGCCUUGUCAAGCCACCCCAUCGACUCUGCCUGUGUGUUCUUCUUGCCCCGAUGUGUGACCUGUUUUUCCCACAUGCUCAGCUUUGUUGCCACAACUGUCGCAUCUAGGACUUCUGCCACAAACUCUUCAUACAGGAUUCUUUUUAAAAGUGUAGCAAGCAAGUGCUGUGCUUUAAGGGGUGUUUCUCAGGACAGCUUAAAAACACAGAGCUUGUUAACUAUGCCCUUGGAAAGGCAAUCCCCAAACCAGCCUCGGUAUGGAAUUCUGAGUUUGAUUGCUUUUGCCGUAUCUAUGACACACGUGCUACGGUGAAUCUCAUCAUGGCAUGUUUCCAGCUCCCAAAAUUCACGAACUUGGAACUGGAAUUCCUAGGUGAGUGGUUGGAGGUGAUGUCCCCAAUUGCUACAGCGCUUGACAAGCUUCAGGUAGAUGAGACCAUAGAGUCUUUCUCUGGUGCUGUUCUGCCCAUAGUGCUUGUGUUAAAUUGUCGACUGGAGCCGGUAUCUCUGAAAUAUACUGCUUGUCUGGCAGAUGAAUUGAAGGCAGAACUUCAAAAGCAAUUUGACAUGUCGACCUUUGACGCAGCUAUGAGUAGUAAAAGCACAAAACCACUAGUCAUUGCUUCUGUGUCACAUCCAUUCUUUACGUUGUGUUGGCUGCAGAAUCAAGAUGAUAAAAAAAUUGCCCGGGAGCUUUUCUUGCAAGAACUGGUCCAUUGCAACAUCUUGUCAAAACCCACCAGUCAAGCAAUGAUAUCAAAGGCUGCCUUUUAUUUCUACGGCUUCAAUAAUCCAGUGAUGGCAGCAACUGUCUUAAGAAAUAUUGUGGUGCAGUUCCUGCAUGAUCCCUCACAUGAACUGGGACAACUCAAAAGAUACUCAGCAGUUUCAAAGGUUUUUGUCAAAUUUAACACCACACUGCCAAACUCUGCUCCCAAAUGGACAAAUCCUGGUGCCCGAAAGGGCCACUCUUCAGGAUGAUGAAUUUGAGAUGAUGAUAAUGUUGAAGACAAAUCCCUGCUUCAUUGAGUGACAUGUGAUAUACAACUGGUUUUUUCAGGUUUUUUGCCCUCAGAAUAAUCUUUUCCAUGGUGAUUUUUCCACUGAGGAGCCCAUGAAUGUCUUGUUACAGGACUCUCUAGAUUGAAGAGCAUUCUGGGACAUGUUUUAGGAUGCAUAUUCCUCCGAGCAGACAAGGCUUUUUUGCUGCUGGAGGCCAAAUGUGGAGAAGAGUUUCUGUAUGAAUUGAGAUUGUACUCUAGAACCCCUUACGAUUCUUCUGAGUGUUCUGGAGUGGACUCACAGUUCCUGUUGGGGAGCUAGCAUGGUGGGGUCCCUUUGACCUGUGCUACUACAGUCAGCCGCCCAGGGUGCAUUAUGACUGGGCUUAUACUCAGUUCAUUUGAGGCACUGGCCAGUGCUGUUGGUUGUCAUCAUUGCCCUAUAUGAACUGACCAUGCCCCACAUGCUCCCUUGUGGCUGUAUACUGCCAGGGAAAUCAGCAGGGAUGGAGGUGCUGUCUUGCAGGAUAGUUUGCUCACCGUUAUGGGCCUCACUGACGAACCCCUGAUCAGCUUUCAGGGAAUGUGAGCUUUGGGGAGCUGCUGCUCUAGAGCAGGACUUCCCAACCUUGGCCCCCAGAGAUCAAUCAAUGGUGGUCCAACAACAUCUGGGGUAUGGCUUCUACAGGGACUUCAAGUCCUGCCACCAGGGCUUUAAAUGUGGCUACUGAGACAAUUAGUUGGCUUGGUUGACUUGUGUGGUUACCCCUGCUGACUUGGCAAAGAGGCCAUGGUGAUUCUCUUUAUUUAGCAGGGGGAGAGUAACUGGCACUAUCCACCCCCAGCACAAUACCUCCAGUGACUGUUGCUGGUGUCUAUCUUGUGUUUCAUUUUAGAUUGUGAGCCCUUUCGGGACAGGGAUCCAUCUUAUUUAUUUAUUAUUUCUCUGUGUAAACCACCCUGAGCCAUUUUUGGAAGUGCGGUAUAGAAAUCGCAUUAGUAAUAAUAAUAAUAAUUAGUGUGUGGUGGCCUCACCUGUGGCCACAAGUUAGAGAACAGUCUGAGAAUCACUUCUGUAAAAGAUCUGGUGAUGCGUAAUGGCUUGUAAAGUGAACUGGGAAGUCCCUAGUUCAAAUCUCACAUCAGCCCCUCUGGCCUAAGAAUAUCCACUCUCUUUCUUUCUCAGCCCCAUGUUUGCAAUAAGAGCAUAACAAUAAUGAUAAUGUACCUCAUAGAACUGUUGUAAGAAUUAUUGGGAUAAUAUCUGUGAAGUGCUGUUGAACACUCUAAAGCAGGCCUGCUCAACUUCGGCCCUCCUGCAGAUGUUGGCCUACAAUUCCCAUAAUUCCUGGCUAUUGGCUGCUGUGGCUGAGAAUUAUGGGAGUUGUAGUCCAAAAACAGCUGGGGGGCCUAAGUCGAGCAGGCCUGCUCUAAAGCAAGGGUUCUCCACCUUGGGUCCCCAGAUGUUGUUGAACUACAACUCCCAUCAUCCUCCACCAUGAUGGUCAUUGUGGUGUGGGACGAUGAGAGUUGUAGUCCAACAACAUCUGGGGACCCAGAGUUGAGACCUCCUGCUCUAAAGCAUUAUAUAAAUGCUACGGAUUAUUAUCAAUGUUAAAGCCUUUGUCUCAGAGCAAGCUCAUGUGAGGGGAAGAAAAAUGCUGGAUCAUCUCUGCUGAGCUGCAUGACUAUGCUUCUCCUAAAACCUUUCUAUAAUUUCUUUGGUAGGUUCAAAAGGCUACCACCACCACCCGCUUAUCGACAGAGCUUAACUGCCCCUCCCCACCCCGGGCUUGCGGUGGAAUCCGAGGGAAACUCUCUUUCUUUUGCUAUUAAAAAGUACACAAAAAUCCUCCAUGUGCAAGACUACGUGUGGUGAGAAAACUGGUAGUUGCUGAAUGUCUGAGGAUGUGUCUGCACCAGAGCAAAAACCCCUUUCAGCCCCCACUUUCUUCUGAGUCAAAAACCCCACUUGGAAAGGCUUGUAAAAGAAAAGAACAAAAAGAAAAACAGUUUUAUUCAAAACCUACAGACUGCUUCCGUCUGAGGCUUUCUCAGCUUUUAGUUACAGGUAAAAAUACUCAUUAGGUUACAGGAAUCCUUCAAAAAGCACCCUGCAUGAUGAUGGGGCGGCACACUUUAAAAAUCAUGGUUACCUAGUUGCAAAGAACAGGUAUGUAGGAAAAUGAAAACGCACAAUUAAAACUUACAGAGACUUUUGCAAUUUCCUGGCUGGAUGGGCAAAGGCUAGUGUUUCUUAGUUUAGUUACGUUACAGGUAAACAAUCAUAGAACAGUUUCAGAGGUAUACAAAGCAGUCAUCAAAUAAACCAAAAGUCUAAUGCCGAGUCUGACUAAACAAACUUUUCCCUAGACUAACUUCCCGAAGCCAAAGCCCUGGCUUCCUUUCUUUGAAUUUCCACAAACUCUAGAAGAGAAUUCAAGUUUCCUGCCCUCUUGUCUUUCAAGGAGCUACAGAGGUCAUUCCAUGAGAGAAAUCUCCAAGCUAGCGUUGACCAUGAGAGAUCAACACUCCAUUGCUCCUCACAAAGCCUUUCUGUCCAUGCUUCUCUCUAACAAAGAACUUCUUCCUCCCAAUGGCUCUCUAGGUCCCAUCCACAUGGUGUACUGAUUGGCUGAGCUCUGGAGUUCACCUGCCUGUUAGUCAGGACAGGGUUCACUUCCGGUUAACUCUUUAGGGGAGGGGUGGCUGAUCACGACAGAUGUAAUCUAAUACAUAUAAUAACAAGGCUACAUUUUCAUUGUUCCUUGUGUAUUUAGGCUGUUGCUAAUAAUAAUAUUUAUUAAAUGCUUUUAUGUUGAAAAUACAUGAAGCAUAUAAAAUCAAGUCAAAUAAAAAUAGUACUAAAAAGGAAAUCCAACCACUGAAAUAGAUCAUAACUCAGUGGCAACUGGUGAAAACAAAACCAGCUAGCUCAGCUGGGGAAAACUCUCUCCCAACAGGAUGUUGUAUAAUGGGCUUCACUCAGAAGGGGAUUCCAAAGAUAUCCCUACCACUUUCACUGCAGACAAGUGGAGCGCUUGGAGCAGGGACUCCCUUGAGGACCUUAAAGGAUGGGGAAGUAUAUGUGGUACUCAGGGCCUAUCUUGUUUAGUUCCUUUAGACUGUGAGCCCUUUUGAGAUCGGAAACCAUACUUGGUGGUUUGUUUGUUUUUGUUUUCUAUGAAGAUCACUUUGAAAACUUUUGUUGAAACGUGGUAUAUAAAUAUUUUUAGUUGCAGUAAUAA